UACGUAGGGUGCAAGCGUUGUCCGGAAUUAUUGGGCGUAAAGGGCUCGUAGGCGGUCUGUUGCGUCGGGAGUGAAAACUUACAGCUUAACUGUGAGCGUGCUUCCGAUACGGGCAGACUAGAGUGCGGUAGGGGAGACUGGAAUUCCUGGUGUAGCGGUGAAAUGCGCAGAUAUCAGGAGGAACACCGGUGGCGAAGGCGGGUCUCUGGGCCGUAAGCUGACGCUGAGGAGCGAAAGCAUGGGGAGCGAACAGG
rnacentral:rRNA from 1 species